rnacentral:lncRNA from 10 species
CUAGAGCGCUCGGCCUCUGAUGCCCGCCCCGGGACUUUGAGCCGCGCCCAAUCGGAAAGGCGUCGUACCGAGGCUCCGCCUGCAGGGCCCGCGGAGAGCUCACAGCCGCUCCUGGGACAGAGUAGCUCCGGGCAAGCUGGCAGCUGUCUGACUGGACCUGAUGCCACUGGGCCUGGUAGGAAGACAGAAUAUCUGUUUUGGACCUUAACAGGACUUUGCGGAAUCAGAAAAGAACCUGCUGUUGUACCUGGAAAAACAAAAGGAAGCUCUUUAUGUACACACAUGAUAAGAACGCAGAGAAAUAUUAAUGAGUAAAAACUGACAGUGACAAAAAAAAUCUAACAUCACUUAUAAAAACUAACUUGAAAUAGAUCAUAGUCCUGGAUGUAAGAGCUAAAACGAUAAAACUUAUAAAAGAAAAUAGAGAAGAAA